rnacentral:lncRNA from 1 species
AUUUAAUUCCAGAGAUUGUGAUUUGCUGAAUGCUUCUUUAAAACCCUGUUUCCAUUCCUUGUCUCUUAAUUAUUGGGAAUUGCCCAACCAUCCAUUGCUGUAUUUUGCUGUAUUUUUUUUCAGUCCCUCUGUCACGAUACACAGGAUUAGGAACAACCAAUGGUAAAUUCAUCAAAGGCAGAAGGAAUCAACACAGUGCAGGUGAGUAAUGACUGGUAGUAUGGUAGGCUGGAUAUUGACUUGAAUGUAACUGUUGAAUGUGUCUUACAGUAUGAUCUGGGAACACACACACAAAGGAGCAGUCGAAAUGAGGGGACCAGGAGAUGAUUUAGAUUCGACUUGGAAAAAGGAGACAGCAUCAGAGAUAAUCCAAGGAGCUUAUGGUCGGUUUCCCAAGAUUACUUAUGGAGCCUUGUGAUUACUAAACUGGAACAACAGGGCUUUCCUGAGAGCUCCUGAUCAAAGCACAGCCCAUUUUCUGCUUGACUGUGGCUUCCGCUUGAAAGAGGAAGAUCCAGACACUGAAGGAACAGGAGCGUUCAGCUGUGUCUGUAUUGUGCUCAAAGCUUCCAUCUAGUGGUCAUGACUCUCCUCCGAUUUGUAGCUUGACGAGUUUCUCAGCAUCUUUUUUGCAUUUACACAUGACUGUAAAAAGAUCUUGAUAUAACAUUUGAACAUAUACCUUUAAUAGCUACAUCAAGAAAAACUGUACAGGAGAUAAUCCAAUAACACCAUAUGUGUUAAAAGUGU